GCCGGGGUCGCCUAGCCUGGAAGGGCGCAAGCCUGGAAAGCUUGUGGCCCGUGAGGGCCUCGAGGGUUCGAAUCCCUCUCCCGGCG
rnacentral:tRNA from 2 species